rnacentral:rRNA from 1 species
GACGAACGCUGGCGGCGUGCCUAAUACAUGCCAGUUGAGCGCUGAAGGUUGGUACUUGUACCAACUGGAUGAGCAGCGCACGGGUGAGUAACGCGUGGGGAAUCUGCCUUUGAGCGGGGGACAACAUUUGGAAACGAAUGCUAAUACCGCAUAAAAACUUUAAACACAAGUUUUAAGUUUGAAAGAUGCAAUUGCAUCACUCAAAGAUGAUCCCGCGUUGUAUUAGCUAGUUGGUGAGGUAAAGGCUCACCAAGGCGAUGAUACAUAGCCGACCUGAGAGGGUGAGUGGCCGCAUUGAGACGGAGACACGGCCCAAAGCCCUUCGGGAGGCGGCAGGAGGGAAUCUUGGGCAAGGGGCGAAAGUCUGACCGAGAAACGCCGAGGGAGUGAAGAAGGUUGUCGGGUGGGAAAACUCUGUUGGUAGGGAAGAACGUUGGUGAGAGUGGAAAGCUCAUCAAGUGACGGUAACUACUCAGAAAGGGACGGCUAACUACGUG